UGGACGUGGAGAGAGGUGGAGGAGAGGAGGAGGAGGGGGGAGUGUGGGAAGUGGCUGGGAAUGAAAAAGUGGAGAAGAAAAAUGGUAGUAAGAGAGUCUGGAUGGGGUUAGAGGUGGCGGCAGUAACAUUUUUUCUUUGGAUAAUGGUAUGUAUAGGGUACCCAUAAAAUUUGAACCACCUUAAUUGUCCCAAAUCCAAUUAAAAUUCACCCUCUACUACCCUU
rnacentral:misc_RNA from 1 species